UUAUUUGAAUAUGUUGGUAAUCCAUUGUAUAAAAAUUAUAAUGCCCUCGAAGCCGGUGUUUGGAGGAUGCGUUUGCAGCUGUGCCAAACACGGGCUUCUCUGGAAUGAUCACUUAAUAAUGCCAUCCCUUUCACAAAAUAAGGGCAAAGACAGUACAGUAUGAACAUAAGCUAAAACUGCGACGUUGGUUAGCCAAACUCAUGCGCAGAAACAAGUAAUCGGGUCUAACGGUCGUCUCGCGCCGAACUGCGGAUGUGCCGGCCAUCAAAUCAAAGGUCCUCCAUCAAUGUAAAGUUGUAAUUGACGAAAAAUGAAAACGUGUCAGUUUGUCACUUUCACGAGGUUGGAUUUGACUUCCCAAACCCCAGCCUGGUCUGUUUGGUCUCUUUCACAAGCGUUCCUGGAAGUCUCGCGAUGUUGCGACUCUAAGUUUAGAAACUCUGUGGUCAUGGUAUGAGUCGAGAAACCUGCCUAUUUUCGUCGAAAGUACGUAAUGUCACGAAGCAAUAUGAUAUUACAGAGAACAAGUAAUUAACCCGAAAAAUAUGUUUUAUGUUGUACAUCUUGUUCACGAAAUUCAUGCUAAUGUUGGGUUUUUAGUUAGCGCCCAAAUUGACUCAUUGGAGGAGAACUCUUGUCCAUAAAUCGCCUCGAAUAAACCGCGCAGCCCAUUGACGACGCAUGGACAACGUACAAAAUAUGAGUUAAUACGAUUUCUCAUACCCUACCAUUUAAAAUGUCAACUUCAAUGUGGGUAUGGACGUCCCAAUAAUUCCAGAUGGCAAAACGUUUUGCAACGAAAACGACUUUAUUGGACCAAUUCAGGUAGGUCCGUUUCGUUCUGUUUUCUUCCCUUUAGUAGGUUAACGGUUUCCGUUGCAAGACGUAAUGAAUAUAUACGGGAAGGGAUACUGAAUACACCCCUGGUAUAACAACAGCAUUCCCUCCCGCAUGUAUAAUUUACUCUACAUUAGUUCCAUUUUACAAAACAGCGACCGUCGGUCGCAAUUAACUUUGAUUCUACGUGUUGUUAAUGCAUUUUUUUUUUUAUAAAUACAUUGACUAUGUCCCUUUGUCCUCUUCUCUAUUUGGUAUAACGAUGCAAGACGAGACUGAACCAAAGUAAGUUAUUGGAAAUAAUUAAGAAUAGUGAGCACUUUGGUUUGACAACAGUUUUGCAUGGUAGAUAGUGAUUAAGCAUUUAGUAACUUGUUUUUAUGCAUUUUUUUUUAUACAUCCUAGUGGCCAGUUGAUUAAUGCUGUUGAUAAUUAUGUGUGUGUGUCCUCUCUGUAGGUCAGUAUCUGGGUGCAGGUGGUGGCCCUCAUGGCACCCACCUCUAUGCCCACUGAAUAGCACAGAAAUACUUACUAUUCCAGUGAAGUAUCAGUGAAAAUACUUUUUGUACUACAUUAAGUCUGCCUAACCAUUUACCUUUUCUUCUCUUCCAGUUGCACAUAGAACUCUUGUAAUGGUCCAUGGAUUUGGGGUAGGGCUAUGGACCCCCUCUGUCACUUGCGACAUCUGUUUGUGUUUGACUUGCUUGGUUUCAGACGCAGCUCCAGACCCCACUUUCCCAUGGACCCAGCUCUGGCUGAGGAGCAGUCAGUCAGUUUUAUAGCGCACUGGAGGCGGGCCCUGGCCCUAGAUUGCAUGAUCCUAUUGGUCACAGUCUAGGUGGUUACUUGGCAACAUCCUAUGCCAUUCAAUACCCGAGAGAGUCAGUCACCUGAUUCUAGUGGACCCCUGGAGCUUCCAGCCCAUGCCUGUGGAUUCAACCUCAGGAUCGACCAAACUGCCCUCGCUGGGUUGAGGCCCUAAUUUCCUUAUCCACACUCUUCAACCCACUGGCAGUGAUCCAAGUUUCAGGACCCUGGGGAAGGCGGCGCGGCAGUCCUUCGUGGGCAAAUUUUGUCAUCCA